rnacentral:lncRNA from 1 species
UAGCCCAUUUUUCUCUCUUCAUAUAUUUCUCUUUCUAUGAUUGAUCCAGUAAAAGAUUUUUUUUCAAUGACUCUGAUUUGAUCUUAAUAAAGAGAGUCCUGAUCCAUGAUUUUUGGACAGCAUGUUAGCACCUAUCUUGAUCGAACCCGAAUACCAUCAUAUUUGAUCUAUUUGAUCUUCAUGAAGCUAAUUAUAUCUCAAUCUGAUCUUGAUUAAAUAAAGUUAUUUGAUCAAACUAAUCUUUGACCGCUGAGCA